rnacentral:rRNA from 1 species
UACAGAGGUCUCAAGCGUUGUUCGGAUUCAUUGGGCGUAAAGGGUGCGUAGGCGGCGCGGUAAGUCGGGUGUGAAAUCUCGGGGCUUAACUCCGAAACUGCAUUCGAUACUGCCGUGCUUGAGGACUGGAGGGGAGACUGGAAUUUACGGUGUAGCGGUGAAAUGCGUAGAUAUCGUAAGGAAGACCAGUGGCGAAGGCGGGUCUCUGGACAGUUCCUGACGCUGAGGCACGAAGGCCCAGGGGAGCAAACGGG